CAGGGCCAAAAGCAUGCUAGGAGCUAUUUUUCUAAAGUCAUAGAGUUCUUUGCUGUUUUUGGCGGUGUUUCUCCAGAACUAGAUGAAAAGAACGGAGUCCACACAUCAAAGGCUGCAUUCCAGGUACCUGAGCCUGUGCCCUAGUGAAGGAGCAGCAUCUGGCAAGAAAGCUUCAGGACCAGCCGGGGUGGCGACUUGUGCAGUAGGUCUUCAGCGUCCUGCUCAUCAUCAUUGAUUCUUUUUAUGGGAGAGCUCUAGCAACUCUGUGGUUGCUACUCUGCCAGACUUCACAUGCAGGCUGUUCCCUGGCCAUCACCUCCUAUCUGCACCUGGAUGACCCCGAGAGGACACUUGGGAUGAUUAUCCUGGUCUCUAUUAUUUAAGGAUCCUGUCCUCCCCUUAUCGCUGUCCCCUGCUCUCAGCUCUGCCUCCUGACACCUGCUGAGCUUCCAGGGCCGAUGGUGACCCCUACCAGCACAUUUCUCAUUCCUUUGGAUCCCCCCACAGAACAGCUCCUGGUCCUAUGUGGCGUGUCCAAGGUGCUUAUUCACUUGCCUAGUCUUUGGAUUCCUCCCCCACGGUCUGUCAUGGCAGUUCUGGCGUUCCUGCUUCACUGAGUGUGGCUAUUGCUUGCUCCAAGCUUCCAGGAACCAUCCCAUCAGCACACUCAUACCAACUCCUGGUUCCCAUAGUGGGGUCUGGGUCUCCCCUUAAAGGCAUAUGUGGACACCCCAGCCCUCAGAAUGUGACUGCCUUUGGAAAUAGGGUCUUUGCAGAGGUAAAUCAGGGAAAGUGAGUUCACUAGAGUGAGGCCCUGGCCGGCGCUACAGCUCACAAGGCUAAUCCUCCGCCUGCGGUACCAGCAUACCAGGUUCUAGUCCCAGCGCCGGAUUCUGUCCCGGUUGCCCCUCUUCUGGUCCAGCUCUCUGCUAUGGCCUGGGAGUGCAGUGGAGGAUGGCCCAAGUCCUUGGGCCCUGCACCUGCAUGGGAGACCAGGAGAAGCACCUGGCUCCUGGCUUUGGAUCAGCGUUGUGUGCCGGCUGCAGCGCGCCAGCCGCAGCGGCCACUGGGGGGUGAACCAAUGGAAAAGGAAGACCUUUCUGUCUCUCUCUCUCACUGUCCACUCUGCCUGUCCAAAAAAAAAAAAAUAGAGUGAGGCCCAAUGCACCACGGCAAGCGCCAUCACGCAAAGACACAGGGAGAAGGUGGCCAUCCUCAAGCCAAGGAGAGGGAUCACAGAGAGAAGCAACCCUGCCUGCACCUUGGGCGAUGAUCAAUCUUGUGUCAGCUUGGCCUGCUUAGGGGAUGUCCGGAGAGCUGGUAGCACAUGACUUCUGGGUGUGUCUGGAAGAGGCUAGCAUUCAGUUAGUAGACCGAAUCAGGGAGACUGGGUUUUACCCAGUGUGGCAAGCACCUCCAAUCUGCGGGAGUCAGAAUAGGACACAAUGCUGGAGGGGGGUGAGUUGCCUCUCUCCUUGCGUGUGUGGGGGGGCAUCCAUCUUCUCCUGCUGUGGACAUCUCAGGCCUCAGACUGUGCACUUACACCCCUACCUCCAUGCGGUCCUCGGGCCCUCAGCCUUGGACUAAGGACACCUCCGACCAUCCUGAGUCUGCAGCUUGUAGACAGCGGAGCACGGGGCUUCUCAGUCCCCGUGUCCCGUGAGCCAGUUCCCGCCAUACAUUUCCCUUUGCUCAUCUCUGUAUGUGGGGUCUGUUCCUCGGGAGGACCCGGAUGGAUAAAUCUCGACCUCAGACUUGAGGCCUCCAGGGAGGUGAGUGAUGGAUGUCUGCGACUCGAGCCACGCAGCCGUGGGACGGUGCUACAGCAGCUCCGAGUGCAUCGCCCCUCGUGGGAGCUCCGCCUGAGCCGUGGCUCACUGCCUGGGUCAGGGCGACAAUCCUGUGGAGCUCUGAUGAUUUCAUGACCGAGUUCUGGGCCCACCCUUAGCUUUUCCUCCCUGUUGAAUACAAGUGAGAGAGUCACUUCCUGUGCUGGCCAGGAGGCGUCUUGCCUUUCACAUGUGGCACUUACUUCCUGUUGAAUGUCCGCACAGCCUUUCCUUGUCUCUGGAGCAUCAAUGGCUCCCAGUAGCAGCCGUGUGGUCCCACUGAUUUUUAUCAUUACUCAUACCAAUUUGCAUUUCUCCAACCGCUGAGGCUUAGCUCAGGGCUCACGCAUUUCCUGCCCGUGGUACACCCUGGUUCACUCUGGGGAAAAAGUUUUUACCAUUUCCACUGCUACUGUGUGCCAGGGGCUAUGUGCUGUGCUCCUCAUUGGUGGCUUGGCUGUGGGCGAUCCAGCCCCCAAAUCCCACCCCCUGGACUUCCAGGAGGUGGGCUCUGGGGGAGGGAUGAGCCUGCUGUAUAUCUGUUAGGGUGCACUCCUGCCACCACUGGGGGCAGAUGCAGGAGUGGGCAGUGCCUCUCUCAUCCCUCAGGGGUCUACAUGUUUAUGCUGAGUUAGAGCUGGAGGAUGAGACCAUGACACUCUUGACCUGUCAAUCACUCCUUUGAUGCUGGCUGUCACAUGCAAGGGAGUGAUCUUGGGCAAGGUGAUGCCCUUCAGCCAAAGGUGGCAUCUGCAGAGGAUGGACCACUGAGAGCUGUCACCUGACGUCCCUCCCAGCCCUGGGAAAUUUGUUUUGUAGUCCUGAGGGAGGAUCUACAAAAUGUAAAGGCAGCCAUAGUCCCGAUGUAGGCUUAUUGGGGGAAUGUUGGACGUCACAAGGCUGUGGCUGAUGUCUGCUAUUGGGGGGUGGAACAGGACGCUGGAGUUGUGCACAGCUUGGAGGCGGUAUUUGGACUUGUGUGCUGUCACACAGAGACACACUCUUAUUUCCUGAAUGUCAGUCUCCCCAUGGAAUCCUGGCAGGCUCAGGCCACGCACGGCCAUCUCUCAGACCCCAGGCUUGGGUGGGAAACAGAGCCCCCACCUGCCACGGGGCUGUCAGCGAGCCAGAAGUGACAAGGAGACAAUGUGGCUGGCAUCGCACGUUGGGAGCAGGGAGGGCACACGUAGACACAACUGGCUCACACAGGUUUGAACUGCACAUCCCGGAGGCGACCAUGACAAAAGCUUGGGGAGGAAAGGUCAGACCCGUGAGUGCUAUUUGUUUUCACUGAAACUUCACUCCUGCCACUUAACACCAGGCUAACCAGCGGUAGCAUCAGUUACCACGUGGCAGCCCGAAACCUGACCCAAGAACGAAGGGAGGACACAGGCUCCCUGGGGGAGAG